GUUAAUCACAAACAUCUAUAACUACCAAACACAGCUUCUGAACAGCAUUGAGUGUUUGUCAUUCUACCCUGAAAUAAUGUGAUUCCAACAGAAGCAAGAUUUCUUCCAGAGCCAGUGUCACCAAAGUAUAUACUUAGAUAUGACAAACCAGGGGUUCCUGCCACAGUUUUGCCACUGUGCCUGCUCCUCAGCCACUUCAUUCCAUGUAGCCAUUUUAACCAGGGCAUCACUGACCAAGGCUUGACAAUUAUGAGAAGAACAGAAGAUCCUGUGAAGCCAUUAUUAGCUCUUGAUUCAAUGGCAACAGCCCUUUUUUUCCAUUUGGACUAACACAGUUGUAAAACCUUGGGCAAGUAGUUCAAUGUGCCUGGACCUCAGUUUCCCUCAACUAUGCAACACAAUUAAUAAAUCCUACCUCUCAAAAGCA